rnacentral:rRNA from 1 species
CGAGAUUCCCCCAGUAGCGGCGAGCGAACGGGGAGCAGCCCAGAGCCUGAAUCAGUGUGUGUGUUAGUGGAAGCGUCUGGAAAGGCGCGCGAUACAGGGUGACAGCCCCGUACACAAAAAUGCACAUGCUGUGAGCUCGAUGAGUAGGGCGGGACACGUGGUAUCCUGUCUGAAUAUGGGGGGACCAUCCUCCAAGGCUAAAUACUCCUGA